CUAAGAAAAGGGAGGUCUUGUCGCGUGCUUGUUCUUUUUUGGCGUCCCGCGCGCUCUCUCGCCAUCUCUCGAAAUCCCCAAGCAUCCUGCAACUUCCCCAGCUGUCUGCUCUGUCUCCGCCGCUUCCCGGCGCCAGGGCGUCGGGGCCUCGCUGUGAACGCCUCUCCUGCAGACAUGAAAGCUCUCUCCUGGAUGUUUCUUGCUGGUUCUGCAGCAGCCAGCGCCCUCUUCUCUCUGGAUUCCCUCGGGGGCGUUCAGCCUCCAGGGGGAGGAUGUCCCCGGGAUUGUCAGGUGUCCUCUGUGCCUAGCAGCCCCCUGUCAUUAAGAGGAGGCUGAAAAAGAAAAAAAGGGGAGGCUGGGCUAUGAUGCUCCUGAGGUGUGGAUCCUGGAUGCUUCUCCAGAGAGAACAGUGAUGUUCAGCUUCAAGACCAAGGCAAAGGCUGCUUCCUUUUGUUUGCUCCCUCACUAUGGCCUGCAGGGACAUGCUCCCCAAACUCUCCUCUCCCAUUCUGAGAAGCAGAAGAAGCUUUUGUUAAACACAAUCUUGGUGCUGUUCAUGGACACUGGAGGGGCAGAGAAUUGAGAGUGAUGUCAUCCCAUGAAGCUUCACUGCCAGCUGUAUGCGGAGACCAUUGAGAAACUAGGGCCAUGGACAGGAAAGCCCAGCUCCAUCUGUCUGCCUGUACCUGCAGUGACUUUUUUUUUUUUUAAAGUCAUGGUCUCUAAGUUGAACAGGCUGGCCUUGAGUUUGCCAUCCUCUUGCCUCAGCCUCCUGAGUCACUGGGGAUUACUGGCAUGUGCUGUGGUGGCUGGCUCUGGACUUUCCCUUGGUCUUUAUGUCCUCCCAUCCCCCAUUCA